CCAAAUCGCUGUACUUACAGUUUUAUAUUUCCUUACUUGAAAGAGGAAAAGAGGCUCUCAAUCGCUAAUUCCCCAAAUCAUUCAAUCCCCAAAGUGCAAUGAAGCUCUCAAUCACUCAAUGAAUCACGGUAAGCUCUCAAUCCUCUAUCAAGCUGUCAAUUCACUUUAAAAAACACUCAAUCCACUGUAAACUUUUCAACGUAAGCUCUCAAACCUCAAUCAAUUGUAAGUUUUUUGGGUGUAUCUGAAUUUUUUUCUGAAUCUAUGUAUUCUCUAUUUGUUCAUCCAUGUUUGAGUUUGUAGAGAUUUGUUUGUGUCAUGCAUGCUUGAGUUUGUAGAGAUUUGUUUGGGUCAUGCAUGUUUGAGUUUGUAGAGAUUUGUUUGGGUUAUGCAUGUAAUUCAGAUUGUAGAGUGUUUGUAGAGAUUUAUUAGGGGUUUUACUUUUGUUAUAUUUCUGCACAAUUCUGUAGUGAUUUGUUUGGGGUUUUACUUUUUGUUAUAUUUCUCUACAAUUCUGUAGAGAUUUGUUUGGGGUUUUACUUUUUGUUAUAUUUCUCUACAAUUCUGUAGAGAUUUGUUAGGGGUUUUACUUUUCGUAGUUUGAUUUUGUAUGUUAUAGUUUAGUUGUAGUCCAAAGAGGAGUCUUACAAAAAUAUUGAAGUUAUGAUCUAGGUUUCACUUUCGAGUCUUAGAGUUCACUUUCUUUUCCAGUUUCGAGCCUUAUAGUUCACUUUCUUUUUCACUUCAUAUAUUAAUUUAUUGGUGCUAUUAACCUAAAUUUCAUAUUUGUACUUGAUAGGUUGUCGAGGAAUCAAAAACUGGUGGUCAAGGUUUUGAGAUAAACAUCAACAGUAAUUGUUUGAUAGGUAUAUAACUUUUAUUAGUAAAUCUAUUGAUACUUUUUUAUUUUUUGAUAAGUAAAAAUAUGAAUUUUAGGAGAUAAACAUCAGCAUCCUUUGAAUCUGUUGCAUAUCUACCUAAGUUAUAUCCUCGACCUGAUGUUGUAAGGUAUAUAGUAUCCUCCUGCUUUAACCAUGAGUAGUGACAUGUUUGUCUAUUUUAUCACUGCUAAAAAAAUGAUAUCCUUAAAUUCUCACUCAUGAUCUGGUUUUGUCUUAAAGGGUCAAUAUUUUUAUUUUAGUGGAAUAUUUUUAUUUUAGUGGAGCGGGUCAUUAAAUAGAUAUAUAUUUUGUUCUUACAAUUUUUGUUAGAAAUAAGAAUUUCAUAUCAACAAAUUUUAAUGAAAAAAAAUAAUUAAAUAGGUUGAGUGAUUUUCUAUGCAAAGAACUCAUAGUUGAGUGACUUUUGAAUUGAAAAUCAAAAUUGAGUGAACUUUCGUGAAAAAGUUGAUAGUUGAAUAAUCAUCAAAGAUAUUAACCAUUAAACUAACACCACAAUAAGAUACAAUAGGAAUAGGUAACAACCAUAUCCAAACAACAAGUCGUACAAGUAAUUUUUUAAAAAAAUAUAUUAUAUUUAGACUAACACCACAAUAAGAUACAAUAGGUAACAACCAUAUCCAAACAACAAGUUGUACAAGUAAAAAUUAAAAAUAAUAAUAUUAUAUUUAAACUAACACCACAAUACGAUACAAUAGGUAACAACAAGUUGUAUAAGUAAAAAUCAAAACAAAUAUUUUAUUUAAACGAACACCACAAUACGAUACAAUAGGUAACAACCAUAUCCAAACAACAAGUUGUAUAAGUAAAAAUCAAAAAACAAAUAUUUUAGUUAAACGAACACCACAAUACGAUCCAAUAGGUAACAACCAUAUCCAAACAACAAGUUGUAUAAGUAAAAAUCAAAACAAAUAUUUUAUUUAAGCAAACACCACAAUGCGAUACAAGGAGGGAAGACAACUCCUUAUGUGAUUGAUCAGCUGCAGCUUGGUACUAGCUGGAAAUCCCCUGUUUCUUCUUGAGAAAAUUCCGCUAUUCCUCCAACGACUCUGUAAAGUGAAAUGACGAAACUCAGUAGAGUAUAUGCAGACCUUCAACUACCUUGUGGAAGUAGAGAGGUUGUUUUUGAACAAACCUCGGUUCAUCAAAUUUAGCAAAUCAAAAUAAUGAAAAGGAAAAACUGAAAGUGAAGAAAACAUGACAACUAAAAGAAAAACAGUAUAGAUCAUUCAGGAUAUCUAACAUCAUCAAACUUCAACCAAACUGUAGAAUUCAACAAGCAUAGUUAGUUUUUUUUUCCUGUUUGCAACACUAACUACUGAAUGUUGACAGAUAAAUAUAUUUACCUGAAUUGAAGGCAGUAACUUUAAGUUUGUUCCUCCCCAAAUCCUCGUGUUUUUCCUGGAUCUUCUCAGCAAAAGCCACCAAGGAAGGAUCACAUUUGUGUAACUCAAUCAGCU
rnacentral:lncRNA from 1 species